GCGGCCCCGCUCCCCCUUCGCCCUAGAAACUCCUGUGGCGGCAGGCGAGCGAGCAGAGAGAGAUGAGCGCCCCUGCUACCCCAGUCCCGCCUCCCCUCCCAGCCUCUUACUCUGCCUCCAUCUGCCGUCUGGGGAUUUAGGAUUCCAGCGUGCAGGGGCGCAUCGGUGAUUCUUUGGCGCGCGGCUGCGACGGAAAUGGACUCGCCGGGUGUCCAUGGCGGAUGCGGCGGCGACAGCGCGGGAGACCUAUGUGGCCUGCCUGCAGAGCGACGGCUCUAUGAGAGAGAGUCGGAGAAUUUGGAAGGAGAGAUGGAUCCAAGCACUCUACGCAAUGAUGGGAUGAUUGCUCUUUCAACAUAUUCUAUUAGCGAGGAUGGCAAGUGAAAGUGGGAGCGACUGGAUCACUAUUGCUAUCAUGCAUUGUAGACAUGAUGCAUUGGACAUAUGUCUGACAAAUUGUCCUUGGUAAGUAGUUGCUACUUGCUAUUGCACCUUAGUAAAAUAGUUUUUUUUGCCCAAACAGUACUGCCCAAUUGCUUGAAUUUUAGUUCUUUUAUUGAAAUCCUACAUGUGGAAGCUCUCACUUAUAGUUGGGCACAUGAUCGGGAAGGUUUUUUUUAUGGCUGAUCUGGGUAGGUCUACAAACUUAUAGCUAUCCUUGAACAUAUCUUAUGGUUAAAUCCAAGAGAAGAAACUUGAUUGUUUUGAUGUCCAUGUAAAAUACCAGGAAACAAAAGAUACGAGUUAAUAUAUUUGGGGUGUAUGCUCCAGAAAAUUCUCAAUGUAACACAGAUGGCAUCUUCACAGGGGAUGCACAUGUGUGAAUAGCCUUGAACUGCUAUGCUGGAAUAUUUACUUAAGAGUCCAAAGAUGUGAUCCGUGGAAGUUUCCAGAUUCCAAUCAUGCUACACAUCAUGGGGCAAUAUUGUAAUGUCAAAGUGAAAAGUUUUGUGCAUGGUUAAUGUAUUCAGUGCCUUACUGCCAAUAAGAUUUAACGCAAACCUUACUUUAUUAUGCAUAAUGGAUCUGCUUCAUUAGAAAGUACUGGAAUUGUAUUUAUUUAUUUACUACAUGUUGCAACGCAGGGGCUCUUUUGCUAGUAUAUCUAAAAAGUGGAAGCGAAAAGAAAGCAGCAAAAUGAUGAGGAAAUUCUAAUUAUCUUGCUGUGGUGUGCUGCUCUCUUUUGGCACUCAUUUUAUAUCACUACAACUGUUCAAACAACAUGGAUGGUCGGUAAGGACGUCGUGGAUGCUGUAAGUUUGCUUGUCCUUGCUUUCCCAUUUAGUAUGUAUAUCACUUUAUCAAUUAAGAAAGGCAUUUUAGACCCUCACGAUAAGAAGUCGUCUCAAGAAGAGUGACACCAGAAUAACCAUAGCGGUCAAUAAGCGGAAGCGGGCGAGCGCGAAAGCCAUAGUAGGUUGAGCUGGGGGCGGUGCAUUGCCAACAGAAGGAGGCAUGGUAGUCGAGGGAGAUGGCACGUUAGAAGAAUCUACAACACGUGGACCACCAAUGUGGUAAAGAAGAGGGGAGGGGGAGGGAGGGGGAAGGUGUAUCGCUGGAGAAGCCUCAGAGGACGAGCGAGGUGAGGCAGUCUCAGGUAAUGAAUGAGGUGGGGAAGCCGUAGGUGACGACGACAGGGGGUUUACUAUAGUAGUACGCGAAGACACGGUGGGAUGGGUGGAAGAGGACAAAACAUGAUUGAUAGGUGUGUCGGGAAAAGUAAGGAAAGAAAUAUCCUUAAUAGGAGGAUGGACGUGGAUAGAAAGGAUGAAACUCAUCAAAAGUCACAUCCCGAGAAAUGUGCAUCCGCCGAACGAUUUGAUCCCAACACUGAUGUGCUCAUCACUUCAACCUAAGAACACACAUUCAAUAGAUUGAGGAGUCUGUUUGGUGUGUCGGGUGGGAGAGGGGGGCAAGAAGAACAUAGCAACCGUAAUGAAACAAACGAAGUGCUGAACAAUCACGAGAACGACCAAAAAGACGCUUGAGAGAAAUUACACCCUGCAGAGGGCUGAAUCUUGAUGAGAUAGGUGGAAGUAGGGGAACGUCAACCCAUAAGUAACGCAGAAGAGAGCCGAUGAUCAUCAACGCAUGAACCGCCUCAAGGUGACGAUACUUGUGCUCAUCAACACCAUUCUGAGCAUGUGCACGUGGACAAGAGAACUAAGCAAGUGUGCCCUACUCAGCAAAGAAUCCACACAGCAAAUGAGAGAUAUACUCACGAGCAGAAUCUGCACGGAAGACAUGGGCAGGGGUGGAAAACCAAGUAUGAACCAUGACGACAAACUUCUUAGGGCCAGUGCUUUUGCUGCCCCCUACCCAGCUCUAUAGGCUUCUAAAAAAUAAAUUUGGUUGGGUUUCUAGAAUAAGCUAGGUAGGGCGUAGCUUAUUCCAGCUAAUUCUAGAAGCCACCAAAAGAACUGUGUGUCCAGAGAAAUGAUCUAUGGAUAUAUAGUAGUGAUGGCCUCCUUUCGAGGCAAAGGGAGCUGGACCCCAAACAUCAGAGUGAACAAGAUCAAAAGGAUGUUGAGACACUGUCUCGCUAUGAGGAUGAAGUAAUUGAACUUGUUUACCAAGCCGACAAACGUGAUAGUCUAAAAACACAAUGCUAAAGACAGAUCCAAGAAGACCAUGUCGAACUAGGGAUGAGGGAUGAGAGCCACGCAAGUGACCGAGACGAUGAUGCCACAAAGAACCGGUAGUCAAGGUAAAAGGGGUGAAGAGUUGAUGGUGGUGGCCGAGGGAAGGUGAAGCCUGUCAAGCUCCUGGAGGCCCUAGGAGUUACAAUGCUGAGGGCAAGCACCAAGUAGAGCACUCCUGUGAUGGUCUUAAUCCGAACAAGAGUCAAAGUCGAGAAUGACUACAACCAGAGUCAACAAUCUGAUCACUUGAAAUGAGCUACAUGGUAAGUCAAGAAACUUGAGCAAAAGGAGCAUAAAAAGAAAAAGUGCUAAGAUUGUCUCGAUGAUCGAUUGGGAGGGAAGUACCAUCAGCAGUAAGAACAUGAAUAGGAGAAUCUAGAGGUUUGAAUGGAGGACAAACUAGAAGAAUCAUGAGUCAUGUGAAAAGACGCUACACUAUCAAGGAUCCAUGGAAAAUUUAGCUGACUGACUUCGUAAAAAGUGGUUUCAAUAGUGAAAGAAUCAACAACAAAACUGUUGAUGGAAAACUAAAAGAAGCAUCUAGCAGACACUGAAGUCUCGUAAUCCCCAGCGUAGUCAGGGGUUCAACUGAAGCAAUAGGUAGGUGUCGAAGUCGUGCAAUCUCAUGCGUGGUGAAGGACACCGUUGAAGUGGCCGAAGUCGAAUCACCGGAAGAGAAGUGUCCACCACCACCCGUGUAAGCCACUAGAGGAGGCGGUGUAGCACGACAAGCACCAAGCGCGAAGGGAAGGUGCAUGUGCGAUGAGGCGCGAGGCGCUGACCUUUUGUACAUGGCGAUGAGGCGCGACCUCCUGAAGAUGUAGGAUAGAUAGCCUACGGUGCGAGCACGAUGGAGGUGGCCACAAGGGGCGAGCCUAAUGGAGGCGGAGGUACGGAGAUCGAAGGGCAUGAUGGGAGGGGCGACGUGUGGGAAUUUAUUGGGGCAUGAGAGGCCUGGACAAGGGGGGUGAUCCUGAUCUGGAGGCGGCGGAGCGAUGACGAUAGUCGUCGGGAUAGACACCGACGCGGGUCGGGGAGGUGUGGUUGCACAUGAGCGUACUAGCCUGAGAAAAGUUGAUUAAAAACUUAGAUCGGGAUCGAUUUGGAGAGGAACGCGAGUUGUGUGUGAGGAAGAAAACGUAGGCUCUAAUACCAUGUUAGGAAUAUGCAACUUGUAUUCCCAGGUGGACAUAGACUAUUGAAGUACAUGUUUGCUGCAAUAUGCAGAAAGCCCCUUGUAUAUUACUCCAACAUGUUGAACACUGGCAUUGUGUUCCUUCCAAAUGGUCUAGAAUGCGAGCAACACUGCUGACUUGAGUUCGUAGUGCACCGAAGGUGGCAUUGUCGCUUGACGGCUAAUCCACCAGUUGGAAGGGGAAACGCCGCCCCCUGGGGGCAUUGGUGAUGCUGAAGAGGCAAACACCAAUUCUAGAUUGCUGUCGAGGAGUAGCUGGUGCACAGGUGUUGAGAAGUCUUUGGGGCAUUGAAGCAGAUGGUGUAGGCGACGUGGAUGUCCAUACCGUGGCGAUGACGACGGUAAGUAGACCAUAAACAGUACUCCAGAUAUGUGCCAAUCGCGUGGCUGCAACCGCAAUCUGAAGCCGAGCUUCAUCAUCGUGUCAUUGUCUUCAUAGAUUGUCGAUCGUUGAUGACCCAAGCGUUGUGUUCCUUCUAGAUGGUCUAAACUGUGAGCAACAAUGCUGGCUUGAGAUCCCGACGCACCAAAGAUGGAGUGGUUGCCUAACAACCAAUCCACUAUUCGAAAAGGGAAAUGUCGGCCCCUGGUUGGGAGGGCAACAGUGACACCAAAGAGGCGAGUAAUGAUUGCUAGAUUGCUGCCGAGGAGCAGCUGAUGAACAUGUGUUUGGCAGUGUCAGGGGCACUAGAGUAGAGGGGACAUGCGACAUGGUUGACCAGACCAUGCUAACGAUGACGGUCGAUGGACCACAAACGUUUGUGGGGGGUGAGCCACAUGUGGAUCUUGCAUUUGAUGGAUGCCCACGCUUUCCACAAUACUUUGUUGUGUGGGACGAGCUGAAGCCCAUGAACAACACACGAUACUCGAAGUACUUGGACGAUGUGUGUUUGCUUCCAAAGCGGGUGAUCUUCCUCCUCCUUGAGUACCAAGAUUGAUUGGAGAGCCCACGUGCGAGGCUCGUUGGGCGGUGCUGAUUAAGGUUAAGGCUCCCUUCAGUCGUCCUGCUUUUUACACCGCCAUGCAGGUGGCUUGGGCAAUGCAAAGACGUCAAAUUCAGACCACUUAUUAUUACCCUUUUACGACGAAGUUUAAGUGUUUUGGGGAUUGGAAUCACAACCAUGCAUAGGGGUCCUUGGCUCUUUAGGCACCAUGCUAUGGUAAUUGAGGAGUAUACUGGAAUAUGUCGCCCUUAUAACUCCGCACGUGUUUGGGCUCGAAUCAUGGGUCGAUCGGACUUGCUGCACAACAGAGUAGUGGCUAAAGCAAUGGCUUCCAAGACGAGAGAAGCUUGAGCUAAAUGGCGUUGAAUAUGAAAGUUUGUUGGAGUGCACGUCAAGAUCAAAUUGGAGAAGCCCCUUUGAGGUUCUUAGGGAAUGUUGAGCUAGGUAAACUGCCCCAAUGUUUCAUGUGCUAUAUGAGAAGAUGUCGCAUUUUUGCGCAAAUUACGAUAAGAUUGGUGAUGUUACAGAACAAUGCAGGGAUGGGGUUCAUGAUCCAAAGAAGUUUCAAUUUAGCGAUUUUAUGAUGGUUCCAACCUAGAAAUGAGUUCAUUGCUCAACCUCGUGGUAGCACUACUUGUGGAAGAGGUGGCUGGGCAGUAGAGGCCAAGGUGGUCGUGGAGGGUAAGUUGGGCAUGACUCGACCCGAUGUAUAAGGAGAAAGAUUAUUUUCACCCUGAAAAUGGAAAUACCGGUACAUGCAAUGUCAAUGCAAACGGAGUGAUUGCAGACAACCGUGUGUCGGCCAAGGACGCUCCCUUGGCGCCAGGGGGAAGGAAAGUGCCAGGUCUUAUAAAAUACCAUGAGGGGAAAACUGGGGCGAGCAACUGAACUCAGGGCAGCUCUUUGCAAGUUCAAGCGAAUAAAUGGUAGAGGAUGGCGGGUGUGCUGUCCUGAUAGUGUUUUCAUCGCUUCCUUGUACCUCCCUUACACUCUUCGUUUCCCGCUAAUCUGGCUUGUCAUCCUUGCCUUGUUUGCUGGUUGUGUGACACGUACUUGAUUCCGCAUUCCACGUUCCCUUGUUGGGCGUCCCUGGCCUUGGCGACAGGUAGUGGCGUGCUCUUGGGCACUCUGCGUCCUCGCGUAAGACGGAGACAGUGCCGACUGCCCGUGCUCUUGCUCCACCGUUGGUGGUGCUUGAGCUAGCGGCUAUGGCGACAACCUGCAAGGGAGCACGGUAUGUAGGAACAAGGCAGCGCACAAAACAACUCGUAGACAGGAAAAGGAUGCCCAAUUGGACUAGCAGGCAGUGGAGAGUACAUGGGAGGUGUGGGGGAAGGGUGAAAAAGCUGUUGGGAGCGGACUGCCUCCGCCGUCAGCCGCCUUGUUGGACCCAGAGCUGAGGGGCCAGGGGAUGACGAUAGGGGAAGCGAGGAAGAGGGAAGACAUAAGAGGGUUCCGGGAGGAGAGAGGCAUCGUCCACCACCCUACGCGUGUGCGUCAGCUGUGGCAAUGGGUAGAUCCGGUGUCUACAUGUGAAUCUACUACUCGGGAUGGCAUGACGUGGUUGUUGUGGAGUGAGGCGCCAGAACUAUUGUGCCGAGUGGGUUUGUUUGGUUGUCGGUGUUGUCGGCAGUAGGGCAUUCCUGCUGUGUGGCUCGCGUGCAAGUGAAUUCAUUGGAGCGGCAAUACUGGAUUUGGGGGAGUGUGUUCAGUGCAAUUGUCGAAUGUGCUGUGCUGUAGAUGAGGCUAUGAUGCUUGUGUAGUUUUUGUGCUACUUUUCCUUCUAAAUUGGCCUGCUUCGUUUGGGUUUUGAUCCAAUUUCCCUUAUAAAAUGAAGCACCAAAAUCCUCAAGCUCAUGGUGGAUCAACAACACUGAGUUUGGAGAGAUAGAAGUUGUGUGGUGCUCUAGUUCGAGCCUUCGUUAAGAAAUCGGUGAACUAUAAAUCGGAAGGCACAUAUUGAAGAGCAAUAAUUUGAUCUUGCACACUGGAGCACACGAAGGAAGCAUCAACACAAAUAUGCUUGGUGAGCUCAUGUUUCAAAAGGCCGCACGCGAUACUGAUAGCACUUAUACUAUCUGAUAAGAGAGUAGUAGGUGUAGUCAUUGAAACACAAAAUCCUCAAGCAGCCAUCAACGCCAAGUCACUUCUACUGUCAAAAUAGCCGUGGCUCGCAACUUAGCCUCUACACUCGAACAAGAAAGUGUAGCAUGUUUCUUCGUCUUCUAGACAAUGAGAAACCACCAAGAAAAACAUUAAGCGGAAAGGGGUGACGAAUUUGAGCGUGGGAAGAAGAGACAGCGAGAGAGUCUUCAUGAAGAUCCAGGCAAUGAGAAAACCACGAAAGACAUAGUAAGCAGAAAGGGGUCAAUGAACUUGAGCAUGGGAAGAAGAGACGGUGAGAGUCCCAUGAAGAUAUCGUAGAACACAUAUGUGGUGACUAUAGUGGAUCAAAGUGGGAGUAGAGACAAACUAACUAGAUGUGGUGACUGUGAACGGGAUAUGAAAUGUGCGGAUGAGUGAUCUAAAUAUACAAGAUUCCCAACAAGAUGACGGUAGGUGGGGCUAGGAGGGGAGGUUGCCGGUACUGUCGACGAAGUUCUGAGGAGGUGGCGCAUGACUUGGUGUUCAAAAUGGUUUCCCUCAUAGUCACAGACUUUAGACUAGGGCUUUUUACAGUGUGAAUGUGAUCGUGCUAGAGGUCUACCAUCUCUUGGAAUGAUGUUGGUUCGAAGACUAACUUAAGAGCCCUGGAGUUGAUCGUGCUGGAAUUGGUCUUCGAGACCGGUCGAAGAUUGCAUGUCAGGAGUGCCACUUGCUCUCAUUCUAGAAGAAAGAGUCAUCUCGUCACGCAUUCAUAUGGGCUUCUUCUUUGACGCACCUUGGCGUCUAUUCUUCAUAAAUUUGUGGUAUCCUUCAAUUUUGUUCCUCCCGGGCUAGCAAAUCCGAUGUCUAAGCGCCAACGAAGUUGUCAUCUUGAUGAGGCUGGUAAUUGAACCUGCUUUGCAGUUGCUUUGCCUGCUAUUUGCCACCAGUUCUUCAACUUUCUCCGUGCCGCUCACACUGGCGUGCCUCAACUCCCCCACAAUUUUCACCUCCUUUUCCUUGCUAUUACCAAAGUUAGAUGGAUGAAGUGGCGUCAAGCUUCUGACAUUCUCUGUGACAAGAGGGUGCCACAAAAGCAAAAAAAGGCAAGUUCUACAGGACGGCGGUUCGACCCGCAAUGUUGUAUGGCGCUGAGUGUUGGCCGACUAAAAGGCGACAUGUUCAAUAGUUAGGUGUGGCGGAGAUGCGUAUGUUGAGAUGGAUGUAUGGCCACACGAGGAAGGAUCGAGUCCGGAAUGAUAAUAUACGGGAUAAAGUUGGGGUAGCACCAAUUAAAGAGAAGCUUGUUCAACAUCGUCUAUGAUGGUUUGGGCAUAUUCAGCGCAGGCCUGUGGAAGCUCCAGUGCAUAGCGGGCGGCUAAAGCGUGCGGAGAAUGCCAAGAGAGGUCGGGGUAGACCGAAUUUGACAUGGGAGGAGUCCGUUAAGAGAGACUUGAAGGAUUGGAGUAUCACCAAAGAACUAGUUAUGGACGGGUGCGUGGAAGCUUGCUAUCCAUGUGCCAGAGCCAUGAGUUGGUCACGAGAUCUUAUGGGUUUCACCUCUAGCCUACCCCAACUUGUUUGGGACUAAAGGCUUUGUUGUUGUUGUUGUUCCUUGCUGUUACCUCCAUUUAUUUUUCACCCUGCCCCAGUUUACCGGUUUUAUGUUAAUCUCUCUCAUUCCCGAUUUUUCUUCUUGGCUUAUGUAUGCUUUCACUUUCCUCCCUCCCCUACAACUCCAGUUUUGAGAUUUUGCUCAACAACUUCCUUCUGAUCACUAAUCUCUGGUUUUGGUCAGAAUUUGUUGAUUGUAUGUGCCCUUUUGUUCUGCUAUGAGAAUUGAAUUUGUAUGCUCGGUUCUAUUGUGUUAUGCAAGGUGCUUCUAUCAAGUUAAAUGGAUGCACUGAUAUGUUGGUGCUUCCACAAUGUAGAUUUAGACAAUGUAGAAGUUAUUCACAUGUUCUUUCCAGCUGUAUCUGCAUAGGUAGCCAUCUUGUAGAAUUUGGUUAUGCAUUCCACUCUUGUUCUUUUCCGAACAUAAUUCAUAUAUAGAAAACCAAUAUUGUCAGCUACGUACCCUGAAUAAUCCCCUAUGCUCUUAGAAUUAUUUCUUAUCUUUGUGAUUUAUUAGGUAACAUAAUUCUAGGACAUAUGAUUGUUAUUGAACCUUAGGUCAAUUAAGUUCGUGGCCACCACCUUUGGUUUCCUCUGUUUGAUGCCUGAAAGCAGAUGGGGCAUCAAUUCUCCAUUUCCUGAAUACAAAACAUUAAGAAACAGACUGGAGUGAGGGACAAGGAACAGACACUUGAUGUGCGUGCUGGGAAGGCAAUUACAAAGGAAUUAAUGGUCUGCUGUCCUCCUUAGUCCUUUGAAUGAUGAUUCAUUUUCUUUGGCAUGCAAUAACAUGACUAAUGCCGACACAUCUCCAUUGUGGGUUUUAUAUUUUCACUAACCAUGUCAAGUUUCCCCCUCAUUGGAGUAACUACUUAAAGAAUCUGUUAACCGGUUCAUGGUUUCUGUAGCAAGAAAGAAGACGAAUCUUGAUUUCUUUAUGAAGGGGUGGAAGGUAUAUUUCUGUAUUUAAGAGUUUACUUAUUGAUACAGUUUAUCAAUAGGAUCUAUUGACAGUCUGUUAUGAAUGCCUUUGGUGCUAACUAUUUAUGGGUAAAGAACUAUUACUUAUGAUGCAAGUACCAUAACUUAUUCCCAUCGUAGGAUAUGUUUAAACAUCUUGAGCGAAUACUCCAUACAUGUUGAAGCUUGAAGCCUCUUGUUUGCCACGUUGUUUAGGUAUCAAGAGCCUUUUCUUUUGAAGGCAUUGGAUUUUAUGUAUUUUCUUUAUUCUGGAUUUUAUGUAUGUCUGUUGUGAUGUUAGAUACAGAUUGAUUCAAAAGGCUUCAGCUGCGGAUUUGUUGGUGUAGUUUAUUUUAGCUGGGGUGACCAGUUGGUUUGCAGACAACGAUGGUUUGGCCCUGUAUCCCGUUCUUUAUAUGAAGUGCUACUUUGCUUUUCUGGUUUGGAAACUUGAUUCUUCUAAUUCAAGGAUUCCGCUGAUGGUUGAGCAAGUAGGUGGGAACGUCGCAUGGUGUGCGCUGUCAUCUCGGCUGUGCUGUUCCAGGACGAGAUGUCGAGGCCCAGAGCUGCUGCCACCGUUGUUGCCCUGGUGGCGACAUUCAUCCAGCGCCGAUGCGUGAUAAACUGUCCAGAACCUCACUAGACGCUGAAAUGGAUUAGAUAGAUUUGUUGCUUCCAUCCAGAAUAGUUACUUUGUGUGGACUGCGUCUGGGCCUCUUUUGGUCAAAUGCCUGCAGUAUAGUUAUCCUGUCACACUGUAUGGAAGAGCGCAGCUGGCAAAGGGAGAAGACCCAGGACAAUACAGUAAGAUUUACAGUAUGUUAUUAUGUUGUGUUCAGUGACACCGUGGAGUAACACAGCGCAACUGUAUCGUUUUCUAUUUUUUCUAUUUUUGCAAAUCUCACAUUGGUCUGUAAGAAUAAUAGCAUGAAUUAGUAUACUAUUUUGGGACGUGCUUGCUACAAUGUCGGAACUGAGCGAUGCCGCAUGCCUAGGUAUGGGCCGAGUGAGUAGGAGUGUAGGACAUGCCACUAUUUUCUCUGUAGCAACUGUUGCUUACCCCCUGCUUUUCUGUUCCUGUGUGAU